AUUGAACGCUGGCGGAAUGCUUUACACAUGCAAGUCGAACGGCAGCACGGGGCAACCUGGUGGCGAGUGGCGAACGGGUGAGUAAUACAUCGGAACGUGCCCAAUCGUGGGGGGAUAACGUAGCGAAAGUUACGCUAAUACCGCAUACGAUCUACGGAUGAAAGCGGGGGAUCGCAAGACCUCGCGCGAAUGGAGCGGCCGAUGUCAGAUUAGGUAGUUGGUGGGGUAAAGGCUCACCAAGCCAACGAUCUGUAGCUGGUCUGAGAGGACGACCAGCCACACUGGAACUGAGACACGGUCCAGACUCCUACGGGAGGCAGCAGUGGGGAAUUUUGGACAAUGGGCGCAAGCCUGAUCCAGCCAUUCCGCGUGCAGGAUGAAGGCCUUCGGGUUGUAAACUGCUUUUGUACGGUAACGAAACGGUCUGCCCUAAUACGGCGGGCUAAUGACGGUACCGUAACGAAUAAGCACCGGCUAACUACGUGCCAGCAGCCGCGGUAAUAGUA
rnacentral:rRNA from 1 species